UACGUAGGGGGCAAGCGUUGUCCGGAUUUAUUGGGCGUAAAGCGCUCGCAGGCGGUCCGAUGCGUCGUGCGUGAAAGACCCCGGCUCAACUGGGGGAGGUCGUGCGAUACGGUCGGACUCGAGGCCAGUAGGGGGAUGCGGAAUUCCGGGUGUAGUGGUGGAAUGCGUAGAGAUCCGGAGGAACACCAGCGGCGAAGGCGACUUCCUGGCCUGUUCUUGACGCUGAGGCGCGAAAGCUAGGGGAGCAAACGGG
rnacentral:rRNA from 1 species